GGUUUGAUUCUGGCUCAGAUUGAACGCUGGCGGGAUACUUUACAUGCAAAGUCAGACGGCAGCACGGACUUCGGUCUGGUGGCGAGUGGCGAACAGGUGAGUAAUGUAUCGGAACGUGCCUAGUAGCGGGGGAUAACUACGCGAAAGCGUAGCUAAUACCGCAUACGCCCUUCGGGGAAAGCGGGGACCUUCGGGCCUCGCACUACAGAGCGGCCGAUAUCGGAUUAGCUAGCUGGUGGGGUAACGGCUCACCAAGGCGACGAUCCGUAGCUGGUUUGAGAGGACGACCAGCCACACUGGGACUGAGACACGGCCCGAACUCCUACAGGAGGCAGCAGUGGGAAUUUUGGACAAUGGAAACCCUGAUCCAGCCAUCCCGCGCGUGUGCGAUGACCUUACGGGUUGUAAAGCACUUUUGGCAGAAAGAAACGGCACGGGAUAAUACCCGUGCAACUGACAGCUGCAGAAUGGCACCGGCUAACUACGUGCCAGCAGCCGCGGUAAUACGUAGGGUGCAAGCGUUAAUCGGAAUUACUGGGCGUAAAGCGUGCGCAGGCGGUUCGGAAAGAAAGAUGUGAAAUCCCAGAACACUUUGGAACUGCAUUUUUAACUACCGAGCUAGGUGUGUCAGAGGUGGAAUUUAACGUGUGAUGAAAUCGUAGAUAUGCGGAGGGGAACACCCGAUGGCGAAGGCAGCCUCCUGGGAUAACACUGACGCUCAUGCACGAAAGCGUGGGAGCAAACCGAGUUAGAUACCUGGUGGUCCACGCCUAAACGAUGUCAACUAGCUGUUGGGGCCUUCGGGCCUUGGUGAUGGCGCAGCUAACGCGUAAGAAGUUGACCGCCUGGGGAGAGUACGGUCGCAGAUUAAAACUCAAAGGAAUUGACGGGGACCCGCACAAGCGGUGGAUGAUGUGGAUUAAUUCGAUGCAACGCGAAAAACCUUACCUACCCUUGACAUGUCUGGAAAGCCGAAGAGAUUUGGCCGUGCUCGCAAGAGGAACCGGAACACAGGUGCUACAUAGCUGUCGUCAGCUCGUGUCGUGAGAUGUUGGGUUAAGUCCCGCAACGAGCGCAACCCUUGUCAUUAGUUGCUACGCAAAAGGCACUCUAAUGAGACUGCCGGUGACAAACCGGAGGAAGGUGGGGAUGACGUCAAGUCCUCAUGGCCCCUUAUGGGUAGGGCUUCACACGUCGCUACAUCACAAUGGUCAGGACAGAGGGUCCUUAGCCCGCGAGGGAGCCAAUCUCAGAAACCCGAUCGUAGUCCGGAUCGCGGUCACAGCUCGACUGCGUGAAGUCGGAAUCGCUAGUAAUCGCGGAUCAGAAUGUCGCGGUGAAUACGUUCCCAGGUCUGCCGCACCGCCCGUCACACCAUGGGAGUGGGUUUCACCAGAAGUAGGUAGCCUAACUUGGCAGGGGCGCACCACAGUGGGAUUCUAACGGCUAGGGGUGAGUCGUAACAAGAGUAA
rnacentral:rRNA from 1 species